UUCUCCUGCGACAGAACGCGACAGAGGAGCCGCUCAGUGGGGUCAGGGAUGCCCUCCCCGACUCAUUUCUGCCAACGGGUGUCACAAAACCGAACCCUUCGAAUUCGAGCAGACAGAAGUCCCGCAGGGGUAGCUGGCCCCGCCCUCCAAAUCUUCAGUCAUCCUUGUCGUCGCUUUUUGAACCCCUUCCUGCUUCAGAAGUUCAGACUGACCCCAAACGUACUGCUUGCCGAAGAUCUUUAACAAGCGCUUCACCUGAGAGAGGCUCGGAGGGAAGAGCGGGAUGAGUGAGACAGCGAUUCCAG